AUUGAACGCUGGCGGCAGGCUUAACACAUGCAAGUCGAGCGAGCGGCGGACGGGUGAGUAAUGUAUGGGGAACUGCCCGAUAGAGGGGGAUAACUACUGGAAACGGUGGCUAAUACCGCAUACCAUCGGAUGUGCCCAGAUGGGAUUAGCUAGUAGGUGGGGUAAUGGCUCACCUAGGCGACGAUCCCUAGCUGGUCUGAGAGGAUGACCAGCCACACUGGAACUGAGACACGGCCCAGACUCCUACGGGAGGCAGCAGUGGGGAAUAUUGCACAAUGGGCGCAAGCCUGAUGCAGCCAUGCCGCGUGUAUGAAGAAGGCCUUAGGGUUGUAAAGUACUUUCAGCGAGGAGGCGUUACCCGCAGAAGAAGCACCGGCUAACUCCGUGCCAGCAGCCGCGGUAAUUC
rnacentral:rRNA from 1 species